rnacentral:misc_RNA from 1 species
GAAAUGCGAUAAGUAAUGUGAAUUGCAGAAUUCAGUGAAUCAUCGAAUCUUUGAACGCACAUUGCGCCCUUUGGUAUUCCGAGGGGCAUGCCUUUUCGAGCGUCAUUACGACCAUCAAGCUACGCUUGGUAUUGGGUCUUUCGCCCGCCAUCCCCCCCGGCGGGUGGGCCUUAAAGUAAUCGGCGGCCGAGCGAAUGACUUCGAGCGUAGUAUUAUUUUCUCGCUUUGGAGGUCGGACUUGGCCCGCCGCCAACCUGAAUCAUCUUCUCAAGGUUGACCUCGGAUAAGGUAGGGAUACCCGCUGAACUUAA